UAAUACGUAGGGGGCAAGCGUUGUCCGGAAUCAUUGGGCGUAAAGCGCGUGUAGGCGGUCCGGUAAGUCGGCUGUGAAAGUCCAGGGCUCAACCCUGGGAUGCCGGUCGAUACUGCCGGACUAGAGUUCGGAAGAGGCGAGUGGAAUUCCCGGUGUAGCGGUGAAAUGCGCAGAUAUCGGGAGGAACACCAAUGGCGAAGGCGACUAACUGGUCCAG
rnacentral:rRNA from 1 species